UACGAGAGGCCCAAGCGUUAUUCGGAAUUACUGGGCUUAAAGCGUUCGUAGGCGGCGUGACAAGUCGGGUGUGAAAGCCCUCGGCUUAACCGAGGAAUUGCGCUCUAAACUGUCGUGCUCGAGGAACCUAGAGGUGAGCAGAACAGAUGGUGGAGCGGUGAAAUGCGUUGAUAUCAUCUGGAAUACCGGAGGCGAAGGCGGCUCACUGGGGGUUUUCUGACGCUGAGGAACGAAAGCCAGGGUAGCGAACGGG
rnacentral:rRNA from 1 species